rnacentral:rRNA from 1 species
UACGGAGGGUGCAAGCGUUAUCCGGAUUCACUGGGUUUAAAGGGUGCGUAGGUGGGAAUGUAAGUCAGUGGUGAAAUCUCCGUGCUUAACAUGGAAACUGCCAUUGAUACUAUUUAUCUUGAAUACUUUGGAGGUAAGCGGAAUAUGUCAUGUAGCGGUGAAAUGCUUAGAUAUGACAUAGAACACCGAUAGCGAAGGCAGCUUGCUACACGAGUAUUGACACUGAGGCACGAAAGCGUGGGGAUCAAACAGG